UACAGAGGUCCCAAGCGUUGUUCGGAUUCACUGGGCGUAAAGGGUGCGUAGGUGGUGAGGUAAGUCGGAUGUGAAAUCUCCGGGCUCAACCCGGAAAUGGCAUUAGAAACUACCUUGCUGGAGGGUUUGAGGGGGGAUUGGAAUACUUGGUGUAGCAGUGAAAUGCGUAGAUAUCAAAUGGAACACCAGUGGCGAAGGCGAAUCCCUGGAAAAUACCUGACACUGAGGCACGAAAGCUAGGGGAGCAAACAGG
rnacentral:rRNA from 1 species